UUUUAGUUUAAUGGUAGAACACCGCACUUGUAAUGCGGAUAUGGUAGUUCAAUUCUAUCAA
rnacentral:tRNA from 1 species